rnacentral:rRNA from 1 species
CCCAAUGGUCAUACCACCCUGAACAUGCCCCAUCUUGUCUGAUCUUAGAAGCUAAGCAGGGCUGGGCCUGGUUAGUACUUGGAUAGAAGACCUCCUGGGAAUACUGGGGCACAGUUAACC